GUACAUGCCUACAACAUAACUUUAAUGCAUUGGAUCCCAUUAGAACUUUGCAGUUAAGCAUGCUAGGGAUAGAGUAGUAUUGGGAUGGGUGACCACCUAGGAAAUCCUAGUGUUUUAUAUG
rfam:Picea glauca, whole genome shotgun sequence.